UACGGGGGGAGCAAGCGUUGUUCGGAUUUACUGGGCGUAAAGGGCGCGUAGGCGGCCUCUGCAAGUCGACUGUGAAAUCUCCGGGCUUAACCCGGAAAGGUCAGCCGAUACUGCAGGGCUAGAGUGCAGAAGGGGCAACUGGAAUUCUCGGUGUAGCGGUGAAAUGCGUAGAUAUCGAGAGGAACACCUGCGGCGAAGGCGGGUAGCUGGGCCGACACUGACGCUGAGGCGCGAAAGCCAGGGGAGCGAACGGG
rnacentral:rRNA from 1 species